GAUGAAGAACGUAGCGAAAUGCGAUAAGUAGUGUGAAUUGCAGAAUUCAGUGAAUCAUCGAAUCUUUGAACGCACAUUGCGCCCCUUGGUAUUCCAUGGGGCAUGCCUGUUCGAGCGUCAUUUGUACCUUCAAGCCUUGCUUGGUGUUGGGUGUUUGUCUCGCCUCUGCGCGCAGACUCGCCUCAAAACAAUUGGCAGCCGGCGUAUUGAUUUCGGAGCGCAGUACAUCUCGCGCUUUGCACUCAGAACGACGACGUCCAAAAGUACAUUUUUACACUCUUGACCUCGGAUCAGGUAGGGAUACCCGCUGAAGUUAAGCAUAUCAAUAAGCGGAGGA
rnacentral:misc_RNA from 1 species